CUUAAUACUAAUAAUUCAACGGAUUAAAUAUUCUAAUCGGUCAAAAAAAAAUUUUCAGUAUAUUAUAGCUUUUUAUUUUGAAAAUGAUAAAGUUUUGAAUGCGUUUUUUUCACAUUUACAUUUACAUCGUAGAUAAAAGUUGGUUGCAGUAAGUGUAAUAUGCCAGUUUUUAAAAAGCUUUACAUUUAGUAGACAAAGUAAAUGGAUAAAUAUAAUUUAAAUUACGCUCUGUUAUUUGUAAUUUCGAAGGUUAUUUAGAUUAUUUUAAAUUUUCUAUAUAAAGCUUUAUAUAGAAAAUUUAACCAUAAGGUUUAUUUUGUUUUAAAUUAAAAGCCAUUAGUAUUACUAAAUAAUAUAUAAUAACAUAUAUGGUAAGUUAAUACAUAUCAUAUAUGGUAAGUUACUACAUGUCUAAAUCUAGAAAAUUAUGCAAGAAUAUAUGCAAUCCAUAUAGUCUAUAUUAUAGAAAUAAAAGUUCAACUAAUCCUUUACUAGUAGUAAAGGGUUAGUUAUUUACAAUUAUUUCUAUAAUAUAGACUAAAUGGAUUAUUUAUACUCUUUUUUAACUUUAUAUUUUAAACAUAUGACAUGUAGUAACAUACCAUAUUAGUUUAAAUCAGUUGUAAAAUUUAAAAUGUUAACAUCUUUGAUAGGUAUAUUUAUUUAGGUUAGUUACAGCUAAGUUUACAUGGCUAGUUAAUAUGCUUUUUUAAAUUGCAAUUUUUAUUAAUUUCCAAAUUAAACAUGUGGCAUCCAAUAUCAUAAACUAAGUUUAUACUGGUGUGUUUAUAUUAUUUCAAAAUUUUUUGUUUUAGACACAUGGCAUUUGCUAUCCCACUGUAAGUUAAAACUAGUUGUAAAAUUAAAAAAUUUAUAUUGGAACUUCUAUUUCGUUUAACAUUCAUGUUUAUUUAAUUGAGUUACACCUAAGGUUAUAUAUGAGUUAUUUAUACUAUCUUAGAAUUUGCUGCUUUAGAGGCACGGCAUUUAGUGUCACAUUGUAGAAUUUACUGUUUUAGACACAUAGCAUGUGGUAUCCCACUAAUUAGCUAUUUUAAACAUGUGACAAGUGGUAUGACACUGUAUUGAUGUAUGUGAAAUGUAUAGAAUCUUUCAGUUAUCAGAUAAUGUCAAGGAGUUCACAGCAUGGUGUCCGAUUUAAAGUGCGAACCUGUGUACGAGUAAUAACAGUAUUCAAAACCAAAACCUAUUUAAAUCAACCAAACCAAAACUAGCGACCAAAAACUAAUAUCUUUGCAUUAGUUUAUUUUAAACAUCUAUUAUAUAUGUGUGUGUUUUAUAUAAAUGUACUAGCUUAAGUAUAGUGUAUUAAAAAUAUUUUUUUAAACUAUUUUUAUUGUAAUUUAAAGUAUA